UUGCGCCCCAUUUCAUGGAUUAACGAUGCCAAGAGCAUACCAUUUGUACAAAGUCCCAAGAUCGAUGUCUUCUCACAUAUCUCACAUAAUAACUACUCGUGCUCUGUUUUUUUCUUUGUAUUCAGGUUUCCAGAAUGAUUGGCCACACCUACCUAAAAAGUUCGGAAUUUAACCAUGAGCCCCUUCUGGCCUGGUUCCAUAUUCCAAGGCCCUUCCAUAAUCCAAUUCUUUGUCCCGAACCACCCAUUGAAGAACAUAGACUGUGCAGAAUAUCAGUUUGUUAUAUUUGCAUCAGAUGAACUAUGGGAGCACUUGAACAAUCAGGAAGUUGUGGAUAUAGUUCAUUGUUUACCUCGGAAUGUAGAUGAUUUGCCAUACUUCCUCAUAUAUUACUCUUUCCCAGUGUACUAAAAUAUGCUUCCCAUUUUAGUCUUGCCUUAUAUUGUUGAUAUGUAACCCAAAUAGGUUAAACCGAAUGUUGUAUCGAAACAUGUAGUAUUUACUUGCAAAAGAGCAACUGAGAGCCUGGUGGGUCGGGAUGAAGGAAGAAUACCCCUGAGAGCCCAAACUCGAGUUCGAAAAUAUAUGCAGAAUAUAUGUUUGCCUCUGCUAUAUACAUAUGUAAUUUUCCAGUCUGUGUUUUCUGCUCCUCUUUGGCGCAAUGUGGAAGAUGUUGGUUUUAAAGGCUAGCAGGGAAGCCAGUGAUGGAGUAAUCAGUGGUUUAUGAGGUCAUGGAGCCCAAGACCGGAUGCAGCAGAAGAAGCAGCGUCGUUGCCGUGCACUAAGAAGGUCAACAGAGUCUGUGAGGCGGAAGAUCCAUAGCAUACAGCGGAUGCGUUGGAUAUGCCAUUCCUCAAUGUGUACCUGGAUUCUCUUUGGGCACCCAAUUUUUGGGCAGGUGUUAUUCUAGCAGCCCGCUUCGCUUUGGUCUUCAGAUUAAGCAAUUCUCUGCAUUCAAGGGAAAGGUCAAUAGCUGCUCUCCAAAGCCAACGCCGGUCUGUAUUCAUCUGCUGAAUCAGGUUGGCCACGACGAGGAGACGGACACGACCGCGUCGUCCCAUCGACCUCCGGGGCCUUUGAUAUCUCAGGGUGUGUGUCAUGUUAUGUUGGGUUUCCUGUGAUUUCGGUGCGGGUAGCUACAUAGCGUCCGUGGGCCAUGCGUGUGACAUGCAUGCUAGGUAAUCUUGACUCCUGUGCGACGGUGCUGGAACCGCCUCCGCUGGUUACGGCCGCCGUGGCUAUGCUUGAAGGCAGAAUCACCACGAUGACUGUAGUUGCCGCACUUAGAUCAGAACGGCAGCCACGGUAUAUGAUCAAGCCUUUACUGUCGUCCUCUGAAUUUGGGAUCACGUGCAUCUGCAAGAGAAAGAGCAUGAGAGCCUAAGAGGGUAGUACCACGUUACGAACAAGUUGAUUUUUAUCCAUGGAAUUGAUCUGAUGCGAAGCUGAUGCCACAUAAAAGGCAUCUAGCUGCAGGUGGAAUAACAAGAUUCAGUGUGUGCAACGACAACAAUAAAUAACAUGUCAUUAGGGAGACUUCUGACAAUUGAACCCUGCAUUUUUUUGGCAUUAGUACAACUGUUCUACUGCAUUAUUCAACUAUGCGCGAUGAAGCUGAUAUAGGGUGUGGACUAGACAAUUUAUUCAGUUUUCUUCAAGAAGGUAUGCAGAUUGGGCAUCAAAGUAGACGACAAAGGAUGCUGCACCUUACAACUUAAAAAUUGAAAGAUACUUUCUAUUUUAUAUUGAUGUGAUCGCCAGCGAGAACAAAUUUUUGACUGAAUUUGUUUCAUUAAAGUGAAGUUGUUCGGACUUUUCUUUGAAUGUUUCUUUUAGUUGCGUAAAAAAGCAUUGUGGGUAAUUUUUUUGAGCUGAUUAUGAGUAAUGUUUGGUUCC